rnacentral:pre_miRNA from 1 species
CAUGCACCGGUGAGGUCCCUCAGCCUGGCCUGUGCCCUCUCACAAUCCGGGACCCCUUGGGGGGUGUUGGAGAGCCGAUUUUGGCCUGAUCCCACAGGCCAGGCUGAGGGACCCCACUGGUGCACG